rnacentral:rRNA from 1 species
UACGUAGGGGGCAAGCGUUGUCCGGAAUCAUUGGGCGUAAAGCGCGUGUAGGCGGCCCGGUAAGUCCGCUGUGAAAGUCGGGGGCUCAACCCUCGGAUGCCGGUGGAUACUGUCGGGCUCGAGUACGGAAGAGGCGAGUGGAAUUCCUGGUGUAGCGGUGAAAUGCGCAGAUAGUCAGGAGGAACACCAAUUGCGAAGGCAGCUCUCUGGGACGGUACUGACGCUGAGACGCGAAAGCGUGGGGAGCGAACAGG